GACUCUCGGCAACGGAUAUCUCGGCUCUCGCAUCGAUGAAGAACGUAGCGAAAUGCGAUACCUGGUGUGAAUUGCAGAAUCCCGUGAACCAUCGAGUCUUUGAACGCAAGUUACGGCCGAGGCCAUCCGGCUAAGGGCACGCCUGCCUGGGCGUCA
rnacentral:rRNA from 15 species